rnacentral:misc_RNA from 1 species
UUUCCGUAGGUGAACCUGCGGAAGGAUCAUUACAACGUAUCCACGUACCAAACUCUCGAACCGUUCCCAACGAAGCAAACACUGUGGAUGAAGUUAAUGACUGUCUGUCUUUCGCUGAUGGAGUCCGCUGACUUUUGUCAGAGGGACUGGAAGGCAUUCGGUCGCCGGAGCUCGUCUCUGGGACUUCGUUUACUUCGUUGUGGUUUUACCGUCAGCGUUUGUAAUACCAUUAUUGACCCUUUGAACUUAUGAACUGAACUUGAUGGCUUCGCGGCAGUCCUUGCUGGCUUCGGUCACGGACUCAACUGCCUAGCUUAUCACAUUUACGAAACAAAGAACAACUCUUAGCAACGGAUAUCUUGGUUCUC